UUAAAGGGAGCGUAGGCGGAUUAUUAAGUCAGUUGUGAAAGNUUGCGGCUCAACCNGUAAAAUUGCAGUUGAUACUGGUAGUCUUGAGUGCAGCAGAGGUAGGCGGAAUUCGUGGUGUAGCGGUGAAAUGCUUAGACAUCACGNAGAACUCCGAUCGCGAAGGCAGCUUACUGGACUGUAACUGACGCUGAUGCUCGAAAGUGUGGGUAUCAAACAGGAUUAGAUACCCUGGUAGUCCACGCAGUAAACGAUGAUUACUAGGAGUUUGCGAUACAAUGUAAGCUCUACAGCGAAAGCGUUAAGUAAUCCACCUGGGGAGUACGCCGGCAACGGUGAAACUCAAAGGAAUUGACGGGGGCCCGCACAAGCGGAGGAACAUGUGGUUUAAUUCGAUGAUACGCGAGGAACCUUACCCGGGUUUGAACGUAGUCUGACCGGAGUGGAAACACUCCUUCUAGCAAUAGCAGAUUACGAGGUGCUGCAUGGUUGUCGUCAGCUCGUGCCGUGAGGUGUCGGCUUAAGUGCCAUAACGAGCGCAACCCUUAUCACUAGUUACUAACAGGUGAAGCUGAGGACUCUGGUGAGACUGCCAGCGUAAGCUGUGAGGAAGGUGGGGAUGACGUCAAAUCAGCACGGCCCUUACAUCCGGGGCGACACACGUGUUACAAUGGCAUGGACAAAGGGCAGCUACCUGGCGACAGGAUGCUAAUCUCCAAACCAUGUCUCAGUUCGGAUCGGAGUCUGCAACUCGACUCCGUGAAGCUGGAUUCGCUAGUAAUCGCGCAUCAGCCAUGGCGCGGUGAAUACGUUCCCGGGCCUUGUACACACCGCCCGUCAAGCCAUGGGAGCCGGGGGUACCUGAAGUCCGUAACCGCAAGGAUCGGCCUAGGGUAAAACUGGUGACUGGGGCUAAGUCGUAACAAGGUAGCAAUCACUAGUGAAUUCGCGGCCGCCUGCAGGUCGACCAUAUGGGAGAGCNCC
rnacentral:rRNA from 1 species